AUUGAACGCUGGCGGCAUGCUUUACACAUGCCAGUCGAACGGUAACAGGCCUUCGGGUGCUGACGAGUGGCGAACGGGUGCGUAAUGCAUCGGAACGUACCCAGAGGUGGGGGAUAACGCAGCGAAAGCUGUGCUAAUACCGCAUGUGAUCUGAGGAUGAAAGCGGGGGACCGAGCAGCAAUGUUUGGCCUCGCGCCUUUGGAGCGGCCGAUGUCGGAUUAGCUAGUUGGUGGGGUAAAGGCCUACCAAGGCGACGAUCCGUAGCUGGUCUGAGAGGACGACCAGCCACACUGGGACUGAGACACGGCCCAGACUCCUACGGGAGGCAGCAGUGGGGAAUUUUGGACAAUGGGCGCAAGCCUGAUCCAGCAAUGCCGCGUGCGGGAAGAAGGCCUUCGGGUUGUAAACCGCUUUUGGCAGGAACGAAACGGUGUCCGCUAAUACCGGGCGCUAAUGACGGUACCUGCAGAAUAAGCACCGGCUAACUACGUG
rnacentral:rRNA from 1 species